UGCGAAAACACUGGAGAGCGAGCUCUGUUUAGGAGACUUUUGAAGUGGAAAGAACGGAUUGUUGUCUGCGAUUAGGAGGGCUCGAGGAGCGAGCCGCAGCCGGGGCAGUGGAAGCCACCCGGCCCGGAGGAACGGGGAGCCCCUGGGGCAGGAGGGACCAGAGAGAAGGGGAAGUAAAGAACAAAGGCAGCCAGGAAAAUAAAUAGCAAUGCGUAGCCGCCUCGAAGUGGCAAGCUGGAAGAAAACAAAGAGAGGGAAAAUCGAGUGGUAAAUACUAAAAAAAUUAACAGAGGAAUAAUCAUGACAAUUGUGCCUUGUGUGUGGGAAAAUACGAACGUUAGAAGCGUGAUACUGCAAAACAUGGACAGAAAGAUCUGCACCUGCCUUAAAGUCACAAUCCGGCCACAGCCUCUCCAUCUAUCCCCAAUGCUCCAAUGCCCCAGACACUGCUGAUCAGCUGAAAUGGAGGUCACCAAGCAGGAGCCAGCACUACUCUGAAGCUCCUCAUACAACUUGUGCUCAAGAAGAAAAGUGCAUCACAUACAUGCUCAGGAGAGAGAACUAGAGGGGUCUGUCUUCUAGCAUAAACCUGGAUGGCCACUUGGAAGGAUAGUCCCACAGUUCCUGUUGUACCUGUGAUUCGACUGCUCACUCCUUGCUCCAGCACCCACAUUUCUGUAAUGAUGGGUCAGAGAAUCUGGGGACUGAUCUGUCUGAGUUCAUGAGUUCACUUUGGCUGAGUAAAUGAGUUCAAGGGAAAAAGGUAACACCUGGGGACACAGCAGACUUGUUUAAGGCCCAGACUGGAAGGAGAUCUAAGAAGAUGGUUUGUCUGGGCUCCAGGAUGCAGCUCCCUUAUUGUGGGGCAGGUAAGGCAUUCUUAAGAGAAAUUAAAGCUCAAGAUGAGCUCAGAAUACCAAACAAAUCUGCAAAGAUUGUUCAUAGCUGGACCCAUUUUUAAUAAACUGGCAUCCACACAAGAAUUCAAAAUAGGCCAGGUUUUCCUUUUACAAAAUUUAUAUUUUAGUUUCUAAAGUAAUAGAUGUUUAAGUGUAAAGUUAAAAUAGAGAAAAAAGGCAAUAAAAUACCACAACACUUAUUACAUAAUAAAAGUCUCAGAGAGAAGAUGCUAGCUUUUCUCCAAGUAACAGGAUUGUAUUCCUGGUUGCAUUUAAAGCCUUUAUUUUUCAUGUCAUCACUGACAUUAGAGAGUUCUGUAAACCACAAGUAUCUUUAACAGCUUGUCUUGCUACCUACAUAGCCAUUUAUUCAAGUAUAAAGAUUAAAUUAAAAAUAAAUGAAAGCAACUGAUGCAUGAGUGCACUCUGGCAAAAAAAAAAAAAAAAAAAAAAACACAAAAAAACCCCAAGUUCCCAAUGCCUGAUGGGGACCUUGCUGAGAGAAGGUAACCAUGUGAGUAAACACCAACUGCUGGCUUAGCCUUACAUAUAAGAAAUCUGUUACAGCAGGUAACUGAAAGCCUUUACAUGGUAAAUAGCAAGAUUUACUUUUCUGUUUCUAUAGCAUGAUCUGAGAUCUCUGCAGAGGUCUCUGUCAAAAGACUCAAUUUUAGCCUGAUUUCCUAAGGAAAGAAGGCUUAUGCAAUUACACUGUCUGUUGGUGUUUUUGUCUGUGGGUCACAUUAUUUCCCCCACUUUCCUUGCCAAGAAAGCAUGUUUAAACCAUUGCUCAAUUCCAUCUAAAUUUGUACAAAAGUAACUUAAGUGAAAUGAAAAGCCAAAUGGAUGAAACAGGUCCUAAUAAA